CCUGUUUAAAAGCAUUCAAUGGGUCUUCUUGCUAAUGACCCAUUGAGUCCUCAAGAAACAGCAGAGCGAAAAUACCACUUUUGGGUGCAAUGGCAGCAGGCUAUGUCAUUUUGCUUCAAUUAAUGGGCUGAUGAGG
rnacentral:snoRNA from 1 species